AUACAAGUGGCGAAUAUAGCAAAGGGAGAUCUGUGAGAACCUGCUUGCUGUGUUACAGAGAGAGGGUCCAAGAGGAAGAGUGUGGGAGCUGUCGAGGUGCUGCUUGGUCAGCCCAUACACUCUGCAGGGCUGUUUGAAGAGGGUCGGCGACACCGGGGUCCAACAAGCCCAGUGCAAUCUGGUCUCUUUGCUUUUCCCAACCUUUGCUCUGCUCUGCUGCCGAACGAGCUCCCUCCCAAACAAAGGCUUUAUUUUCACAGACAGAUUAUUGGGAGUUGACUACAUUCUUCUUGGCCGAGCUCGAAGCAAAGCAAAGG